rnacentral:rRNA from 1 species
ACGGGGCUUAAUGUCUUGUAAUUGGAAUGAUGGGAAUUUAAACCUCUUCCAGAGUAUCAAUUGGAGGGCAAGUCUGGUGCCAGCAGCCGCGGUAAUUCCAGCUCCAAUAGCGUAUAUUAAAAUUGUUGCAGUUAAAAAGCUCGUAGUUGAAUUUCUGCUGCAUUGCAUUUGCUCCUUGACGAGUGUCUGUAUUGCGGCUUAUUUCGGAUUAUGCUUGCAUUUUCCGGAUGUUUACUUUGAGAAAAUUAGAGUGCUCAAAGCAGGCUUUUGCCUUGAAUAGUUUAGCAUGGAAUAAUAAAGUAGGACUUUGGUUCUAUUUUGUUGGUUUUAGGUACCAAAGUAAUGGUUAAUAGGAACAGUUGGGGGCAUUCGUAUUUA